AUACGGAGGAUCCGAGCGUUAUCCGGAUUUAUUGGGUUUAAAGGGUGCGCAGGCGGCCAUUUAAGUCAGCGGUUAAAUCGUGGGGCUCAACCCCAUUCUGCCGUUGAUACUGGGUGGCUUGAUUGCGGUCGAGGUUGGCGGAAUUCGUUGUGUAGCGGUGAAAUGCAUAGAUAUGACGAAGAACACCGAUUGCGUAGGCAGCUGACCAGACCGCAAAUGACGCUCAUGCACGAAAGUGCGGGGAUCGAACAGGAUUAGAUACCCUGGUAGUCCGCACAGUAAACGAUGAAUACUUGGUUUCGGCGAUAUAAUGUCGGAGGCAAAGCGAAAGCGAUAAGUAUUCCACCUGGGGAGUACGCCGGCAACGGUGAAACUUAAAGGAAUUGACGGGG
rnacentral:rRNA from 1 species